AGCGUCCGUAGCUGGCCGCACAAGUCCAUCGGGAAAUCCACCUGCUCAACAGGUGGCCGUCCGGUGGAAACUGUGUGGCUUGGGACCGGAAGGCGCGACGGGUACGUCCGGGGUAGGAGUGAAAUCCUGUAAUCCUGGACGGACCGCCGAUGGCGAAAGCACGUCGCGAAAACGGAUCCGACAGUGAGGGACGAAAGCUAGGGUCUCGAACCGGAUUAGAUACCCGGGUAGUCCUAGCCGUAAACACUGCCUGCUAGGUGUGGCUCCCACUACGAGUGGGUGCUGUGCCGUAGGGAAGCCGCUAAGCAGGCCGCCUGGGAAGUACGUCCGCAAGGAUGAAACUUAAAGGAAUUGGCGGGGGAGCACUACAACCGGAGGAGCCUGCGGUUUAAUUGGACUCAACGCCGGACAUCUCACCAGCAUCGACUGUAGUAAUGACGAUCAGGUUGAUGACCUUAUCCGAGCUACAGAGAGGAGGUGCAUGGCCGCCGUCAGCUCGUACCGUGAGGCGUCCUGUUAAGUCAGGCAACGAGCGAGACCCGCAUCUCUACUUGCCAGCAACGCUGUGAAGCGGUUGGGGACAGUAGAGAGACUGCCGUGGCCAACACGGAGGAAGGAACGGGCAACGGUAGGUCAGUAUGCCCCGAAUGUGCUGGGCAACACGCGGGCUACAAUGGUCAGGACAAAGGGUCCCAACUCCGAAAGGAGACGGUAAUCUCAGAAACCUGAUCGUAGUUCGGAUUGUGGGCUGCAACUCGCCCACAUGAAGCUGGAUUCGGUAGUAAUCGCGUGUCACAAGCGCGCGGUGAAUACGUCCCUGCCCCUUGCACACAA
rnacentral:rRNA from 1 species